rnacentral:rRNA from 1 species
UACGGAGGGUGCGAGCGUUGUCCGGAAUCAUUGGGCGUAAAGGGCGCGUAGGUGGCGGGACAAGCGUGCGGUGAAAGCUCGGGGCUCAACCCCGAGUCGGCCGUGCGAACUGUCUUGCUUGAGCACUGUAGAGGCAGGCGGAAUUCCGGGUGUAGCGGUGGAAUGCGUAGAGAUCCGGAAGAACACCGGUGGCGAAGGCGGUCUCCUGGGCCGAGGGCCGACGGCUGAGGCGCGAGAGCGUGGGGAGCGAACCGG